UCACUUGACCACAGCUCAAAGAUACCAUGAUCAUCAAGGUGGUUUUCCCUGGGUGAGGCUCAUCCAUUGCACUGUGGGUGUGCUGACCCCUGUGAUUUCCCCAAAUGCAGGAAACUCAACUGCAGACUUUGUGGUAGUGGGGAACUGCGUUCAUGCUUUCCCCU
rnacentral:snRNA from 1 species